rnacentral:rRNA from 1 species
GAUGAACGCUGGCGGCGUGCCUAAUACAUGCAAGUCGAGCGAAGCGGGGACGGGUGAGUAACACGUGGAUGAACUCCUAUAAGGCUGGGAUAACUUCGGGAAACCGGAACUAAAACCGCUACUUAUAGCUGGAUGCGCGCUGGAGUAGCUAGUUGGUAAGGUAACGGCUUCACAAGGCAACGAUGCAUAGCUGACCUGAGAGGGUGACCGGCCACACUGGAACUGAUACACGGUCCAGACUCCUACGGUAGGCAGCAGUGGGGAAUCUUCCGCAAUGGGCGAAAGCCUGACGGAGCAACGCCGCGUGAGUGAUGAAGGUCUUCGGAUCGUAAAACUCUUUUAGCAGGGAAGCGGUACCUACACAGAAAGCCACGGCUAACUACGUGCCAGCAGCCGCGGUAAUAC